UACGUAGGGUGCAAGCGUUAAUCGGAAUUACUGGGCGUAAAGCGUGCGCAGGCGGUUUUGUAAGUCAGAUGUGAAAUCCCCGGGCUUAACCUGGGAACUGCGUUUGAAACUACAAGGCUAGAGUGUGGCAGAGGGGGGGUGGAAUUCCGCGUGUAGCAGUGAAAUGCGUAGAGAUGCGGAGGAACACCGAUGGCGAAGGCAGCCCCCCUGGGCUGACACUGACGCUCAGGCACGAAAGCGUGGGGAGCAAACGGG
rnacentral:rRNA from 1 species